rnacentral:rRNA from 1 species
UACGUAGGGGGCAAGCGUUGUUCGGAAUUACUGGGCGUAAAGGGCGCGUAGGCGGCACGGCAAGUCGGGAGUGAAAGCCCGGGGCUCAACCCCGGAACGUCUUUCGAAACUGCCGAGCUAGAGUGCGGAAGGGGCAACUGGAAUUCCCAGUGUAGCGGUGAAAUGCGCAGAUAUCAGGAGGAACACCGGUGGCGAAGGCGGCAUCCUGGACCGGUAUUGACGCUGAGGAGCGAAAGCCAGGGGAGCAAACGGG